rnacentral:lncRNA from 1 species
GUGAGGAGGAAAACUGGGGGGAAGCAGAUCCCCCAACACGAGCAACCUCUCCUCCAGCUCUCCCUCCUUCUGAGGCAAAUCACACCCCAGGCAGGUCUCCCUCUUUCUAGAGGGGCAAUCCUCAGCAUGCUAGCCACCCACCAAGCCAUGUGGAGAUGAUUUGGCAUCAUGGAACCCCAGAUACUUAUGUGGUCUUCCUUUUGCUGAUGUUGUUAUUUACCCCAUCUGAACCACACAAGGAUUGCAUCUUCUAUAAUUCCCCUAUUGAUACUGCUUCUGACAUUCAAAAGGAAGCUGAAAAGCUGGUGAGUGUUUUGCAUACUGGAGACCAGACUAAUAUAUAA